rnacentral:rRNA from 1 species
GACAGAGGGGGCAAGCGUUGCUCGGAAUUACUGGGCGUAAAGCGUGCGUAGACGGUUAUUUAAGUCGGGUGUGAAAGCCCCGGGCUCAACCUGGGAAUUGCAUUCGAGACUGAAUAGCUAGGGUACGGUAGAGGGAAGUGGAAUUUCCGGUGUAGCGGUGAAAUGCGUAGAUAUCGGAAGGAACAUCAGUGGCGAAAGCGACUUCCUGGGCCAGUACCGACGUUCAGGCACGAAAGCGUGGGGAGCAAACAGG